CGCAUAUUGCGCCCUUUGGCAUUCCGAAGGGCAUGCCUGUUCGAGCGUCAUUACACCUCUCAACCUCAGGUUGAUGUUGGGUCUUGCCAGUAGGCAUACCUAAAAGUUAGUGACGGUCUUAACUAAACCUCAGACGAGCAAAAUCGAACUGCUGGUAUGGUGUAGGCCUGUCUUUUACUUAAUAUCUAAAGUUGACCUCGGAUCAGGUAGGGAUACCCGCUGAACUUAA
rnacentral:misc_RNA from 1 species